rnacentral:rRNA from 1 species
UACGGGGGGGGCAAGCGUUGUUCGGAAUUACUGGGCGUAAAGGGUUUGUAGGUGGCUUGCUAAGUCAGAUGUGAAAUCCCUCAGCUUAACUGGGGAACUGCGUCUGAGACUGGCGAGCUUGAGUGCAGGAGAGGAUGGCGGAAUUCCCCAAGUAGAGGUGAAAUUCGUAGAUAUGGGGAGGAACACCGGUGGCGAAGGCGGCCAUCUGGACGGAUACUGACGCUGAGACGCGAAAGCGUGGGUAGCAAACAGG